AUGUCAUCACAAGCAUGCCUCAAAAGUGCUGGUGAGAUUCUCUUCAUUAUCAAGCAUUUGCACAACCUGAGCCACACCUUCAGCUAUUUCCUUCCUUAUAACGCCAUCAGGCAUAUCAAAUAUCCGUCUUUUCAUGGAAUUUAAUUUCCCCGGAGGUUGAGGGUCCACCACAUCAAGCAUUGCCUCCAAUUCAUCCACCAUUGACCUUUUAGCUGCUCGCACCAUCAGAUCAGUUCCCUCAAUAGCAUCCACAGUGAGAAGCAGGACAAUGAUUUUUUCAGAGAAUCUCUGGCGUUCC
rnacentral:misc_RNA from 1 species